rnacentral:rRNA from 1 species
UUAGAGUUUGAUCCUGGCUCAGGAUGAACGCUAGCGGCAGGCUUAACACAUGCAAGUCGAGGGGCAGCGAGAUCAGUGCUUGCACUGAUUGUCGGCGACCGGCGCACGGGUGCGUAACGCGUAUGCAACCUACCCAUUACAGGGGGAUAACACUGAGAAAUCGGUACUAAUACCCCAUAACAUCCAGAGAGGCAUCUUCUUGGGUUGAAAACUCCGGUGGUAAUGGAUGGGCAUGCGUUGUAUUAGUUAGUUGGUGGGGUAACGGCUCACCAAGACAACGAUACAUAGGGGGACUGAGAGGUUAACCCCCCACAUUGGUACUGAGACACGGACCAAACUCCUACGGGAGGCAGCAGUGAGGAAUAUUGGUCAAUGGACGCAAGUCUGAACCAGCCAUGCCGCGUGCAGGAAGACGGCUCUAUGAGUUGUAAACUGCUUUUGUACGAGGGUAAACGCAGAUACGCGUAUCUGUCUGAAAGUAUCGUACGAAUAAGGAUCGGCUAACUCCGUGCCAGCAGCCGCGGUAAUACGGAGGAUUCAAGCGUUAUCCGGAUUUAUUGGGUUUAAAGGGUGCGUAGGCGGUCGGAUAAGUUAGAGGUGAAAUCCCGGGGCUCAACUUCGGAAUUGCCUCUGAUACUGUUCGGCUAGAGAGUAGUUGCGGUAGGCGGAAUGUAUGGUGUAGCGGUGAAAUGCUUAGAGAUCAUACAGAACACCGAUUGCGAAGGCAGCUUACCAAGCUACUUUUGACGUUGAGGCACGAAAGCGUGGGGAGCAAACAGGAUUAGAUACCCUGGUAGUCCACGCAGUAAACGAUGAUAACUCGUUGUCGGCGAUACAGUGUCGGUGACUAAGCGAAAGCGAUAAGUUAUCCACCUGGGGAGUACGUUCGCAAGAAUGAAACUCAAAGGAAUUGACGGGGGCCCGCACAAGCGGAGGAACAUGUGGUUUAAUUCGAUGAUACGCGAGGAACCUUACCCGGGCUUGAAAGUUAGUGACGGAUCUUGAAAGAGGUCUUCCCUUCGGGGCACGAAACUAGGUGCUGCAUGGUUGUCGUCAGCUCGUGCCGUGAGGUGUCGGGUUAAGUCCCAUAACGAGCGCAACCCCUACCGUUAGUUGCCAGCAGGUCAAGCUGGGCACUCUGACGGGACUGCCGGUGUAAGCCGAGAGGAAGGUGGGGAUGACGUCAAAUCAGCACGGCCCUUACGUCCGGGGCUACACACGUGUUACAAUGGCAGGUACAGAGGGCAGCUACCCAGCGAUGGGAUGCGAAUCUCGAAAGCCUGUCUCAGUUCGGAUUGGAGGCUGAAACCCGCCUCCAUGAAGUUGGAUUCGCUAGUAAUCGCGCAUCAGCCAUGGCGCGGUGAAUACGUUCCCGGGCCUUGCACUCACCGCCCGUCAAG